UACGUUGCCUGCGCUCUGGAGUGCAUCAAUGACACUGACAACCUGGGUUUCCAUGGCGGCUGCCCGGUAACCCGGGCCCAUGGCUCAGGAUGUGCCUGAGGCUGCCAGAGAGUGGGGCUUCUGAUCAGCCUCAGUGAGCGCAUCUGGGAACAAGUUAAUGUCUUAGACUAAAUUCUGCUUCUGACCAGAUCUCCUGUAUGCCAGCUCAGCUACCCAGGAGGUUUGUGGAUCUACACUCCUGCGUACCUUCGAGUAUAUCUCUGGGAGCACCUGGAACUGAAGGGGCACACCUCGGAGGCAGACGGCCACGUGCUGCCCAGAAAUUAGCCCAGAAGCUGCGUUUUCCUUCAGCACACCGCACCUCACCGGUUGCCGUGGCAACCCCUACAGACCACCAGAUGCCGAUUCCAAUGCAACUCGGCUACCUGGCGAUGGCUGAAUCGUGCACGUGGAGGAGGCCCCUCGUGGCCUUUGGGCUCACAGCUCUCCUCUGUGAGGGUCUGUCACAGCCGAAUUGAGAGCCUGCAGGCAGCAAUCAAACCCAUCCAACACAGCAAUAUGAAAUUCUCGUGAUGUGAAUGAAGAAGCCGGGCUUUGGAGCAAGCGGAUGGAUUUUCAGCGUGGUGUGGGCAAGGGCACAGCAGUCGCUGCUGGUGACAGCCAUGCAGCAGCAGCCGCAGGCACGGGGCCCCUGCCAGUCGAUGGAGGCCCCACUGCGGCUCCGGGUGCUCCCUGCACUGGGAUAAAGCAGCAGGUCUUGCAACCAGGGGCCCGUGCUGUCCAGUGCACUCCUUGCUUGACCCUUACAUGCAGCGACAGCAAGUGCACAACACGGUUCAUUUUUUAAUAGCAGGAGAACUUACUGGAGAAUGAUUGGAGAGAAUUUUGGAGCGUGUUGUAUUUUGAGCCCUGGAGCCUGUAAAGCUGCUGCCGUGCAACCUCCAUUCAAGCCAAAUGGGGCUUCAAUGCCAAAGCGAGGAAGGGAUGUGCAAGAAGCAUUUAUAUAGGAGAGAUGUGGAGAACAGACUCUCAGUACUGGUGAAUCUUCCUCAGAGAUGCAUGCAUCUCCAUAAAUGGAUGAGAACUGGAGAACAAAAAGGGCCAUUAAAAUUUAAUGUGCUAAUUGUAGGAGACGAAGCAGCUCUAUUCAAUUAGAUGCAAACAGACAGGUACUUACUAGAAUACACGGAUUUACGAUGGCUGGUUGUGACAGUGUAGUGGGGCUGGAGCUCACACUGUGGUACCGGCCGGCUGCCCCAGCUCAGUGAGAUAUCGAGGCACAGAGAUAAUGGUGCGCUCACACUGAGCUCAGAGGGGACGUUGGGAAUUGCAUGAAAGAGGAGAGCGAUGGAGCAGGGAGAUAAGUGCACCUGAAAUGUACACGGGAGGCUCGCUUUAUUUGUCUGCACAGCAGCGGUGCCCUGGAAAGGAUUGGAGCACAGCGCUGCGCAGUGCUGCUGAAAACGUUCAGCUGCGGCUCUUACAGCGCUCCCACAGCCUGCUCCUGCCUCCCUCCCUGCUCUCCCUCUUUCACCACUCACCAGCAGGAAAAAAAAAUAGCAGCUACGUGCCAGACUGCACGGGGUUAAGGGCAGGGCGGGCAGGAGGAGAUACUGGAAACACUCUGACCAUUGACCCUCAGUACUAUUUGACAGCAGCUGCAGGUCCCUUGGGCUUCGUUUUCCAAUUAGCGACAAGCCCAUUAACGAGCUCUAGCUAGAGGGUUUUCACUCAACUAAGAAGUGCCUAAAGGAGGAGCCAUCAGCCCUGAUCUGGGCACUGAAUCUGCCAGACUCUGUGAGUUUGGGUACCGCUCUUCUCCCACAAAAAGCAGCAUGGUAACAUGUUGAGUAACGGACAGAAGAGCUUUCUUCAAGAGUGGCACGUGCCUGUGGUUUGAAUAAAUACAUCUCAUUAUGCCCACCAUCACUAGUUUUUUGGACUUUAAUUUGCUCUAUCAGCAAAUGGAAAUGAAUCAAGUGGGGAGCAUUGAUAGAAAGUUCUUAAAGAGUCACAGAGAGGGGAGAUGACACCUUUCCAUCUAAAGAAAAGAGCAAUUACAAAUACUGAAAGGAACAUUUAGAACAAAAGUAAAUAAACCUCUACCAACUCCCAAAAAACAGCUCAGAUUUAACAGCAGACAACAUCACUGAGAAACCAGACGCUUUCACUGCUGGAAGCGUUGGGACAGCUCACAAUACAUGAGAAUAGUUUAAGAUCGAUUUAGCCCCAGGUUUCAAAGGCAAAAUCAAUCUCUACUGAGGUGGGCCGGGUCACCACCCACCUGCCCUCUGUGCUAUUUCCUCUAUUUCAGCAGAGCUCUCUCAAAAGCGACAUGGCUCUGGACCAGGAGGAACAGGGGCUCUGACCUGAGCCGUGCUGACCGGCAGCUUUGUUUCUGACGGAGCCAUUGGGUCUGGCCCACACAACCACGAUGCACUGAGGGAGGGUUCCCAAGGACCCAAGGUCUGUGGGCUUUGCAUCAGGCCUCAGUCCCACAGACGGAACAGCUCGAUGGCAUCUUUCCACAGAAAAAAUGACUGCAGACAUCACCACUCAGCUUUCCAGGCCUGCAUCUCUGAGCAUACCCUCCCAUCCCUUACACACAUGCACACGCACCUCCAAUAACAUCUAUUUUGAACGCUUAUUUCUGGAUUUUUUUUCCCCCUCAAAAUCAUCCUCAAGGAUUUUCUCAAAGUGUGUAAGAUGCAGAGAGUAUUCUACCUUGACUUUUUUUUUGGAGUUACAUUUACCUGAGAAGAUUUGAUGACGAAGGUAACGCAGGAUGAUGUCGUUAGUGAACCCUGCCCUGCCUCCAUCGGGGGAAAACGGCACAAAGACACGGAGCUUCGGCAGAUGAGUGCAGGAACAGGCUCAGCCUCUGGCAUUCAAACCAGAGAACGCGCCUACAGCGCCCAUCUGCCCGAGCUCUGACACCCAGUUAGUUGCCAGGAAUCACAGCGACACAUCAAAGAAUUUGCUUUUCAUCUUUGCAACAGUCUUAAUAUCCUUCUUAAAGACAUUCCCUAUCGGUGGGAUUCUACAUGCUCAAUGGCAUCUGAACCCUGGCAUCAGAUAAUGGCUCUUUAAUUGCUUUUCUUCCUAAGAUGCGAACACUUACAAGCUGCUGCAGGAGGAAGGACAAAAUGGGAGAGGAGCAGAUUGAGCACACCAACAGUUUGCAGUUCACACAGCAGGAAAAUAAAACGUGCCCCGAAGUUCUCACUGACUCUCCUGUUCAUCACAUUUGGGCUGUUGUCACGGUAGCUAGAAGCAAAACAUUUUGGAGACGCAUCUUGCAGCGUCCAGUCAGAUCAACUGCUCGUUUGAAGCACGCUGCAACAGUAUUACCCACUGGCCUUUUCCUCUCCUUGGAUUUAGUGGAAGGGAGAGCGGUGUUCUCGAGCAGUGUCACCACGGCAGGAACGGCCCAGGCGCAGCGUACACGACGAACGCUCGUACACCCGCAGCAGCUCGAGUGGAAACUAAGGUGUACCUGCUGCUGCUGCGAAGAACCUGCACACACAGAUCCAUCAGUGAAACAGAACUACUUCACCAGCACUACAGAUUCAAGCGUGAAGCAUACGAAGUGGCACUACAGUACGACUGACAGAUAAUGCUGUGUAAGUACGUGAGGGUUACAUCCAUGGAAAUGCAAGAACCAAGAGGCACGGUGUCUCAAAGUCACCAGUGUUCACU